rnacentral:rRNA from 1 species
AGCUUGCUCCACCGGAAAAAGAGGAGUGGCGAACGGGUGAGUAACACGUGGGUAACCUGCCCAUCAGAAGGGGAUAACACUUGGAAACAGGUGCUAAUACCGUAUAACAAUCAAAACCGCAUGGUUUUGAUUUGAAAGGCGCUUUCGGGUGUCGCUGAUGGAUGGACCCGCGGUGCAUUAGCUAGUUGGUGAGGUAACGGCUCACCAAGGCCACGAUGCAUAGCCGACCUGAGAGGGUGAUCGGCCACAUUGGGACUGAGACACGGCCCAAACUCCUACGGGAGGCAGCAGUAGGGAAUCUUCGGCAAUGGACGAAAGUCUGACCGAGCAACGCCGCGUGAGUGAAGAAGGUUUUCGGAUCGUAAAACUCUGUUGUUAGAGAAGAACAAGGAUGAGAGUAACUGUUCAUCCCUUGACGGUAUCUAACCAGAAAGCCACGGCUAACUACGUGCCAGCAGCCGCGGUAAUACGUAGGUGGCAAGCGUUGUCCGGAUUUAUUGGGCGUAAAGCGAGCGCAGGCGGUUUCUUAAGUCUGAUGUGAAAGCCCCCGGCUCAACCGGGGAGGGUCAUUGGAAACUGGGAGACUUGAGUGCAGAAGAGGAGAGUGGAAUUCCAUGUGUAGCGGUGAAAUGCGUAGAUAUAUGGAGGAACACCAGUGGCGAAGGCGGCUCUCUGGUCUGUAACUGACGCUGAGGCUCGAAAGCGUGGGGAGCAAACAGGAUUAGAUACCCUGGUAGUCCACGCCGUAAACGAUGAGUGCUAAGUGUUGGAGGGUUUCCGCCCUUCAGUGCUGCAGCUAACGCAUUAAGCACUCCGCCUGGGGAGUACGACCGCAAGGUUGAAACUCAAAGGAAUUGACGGGGGCCCGCACAAGCGGUGGAGCAUGU